CUCUCCUGAUGCAAUCUAUUGUGCAAUCCGAUACAUUCCCUAACAAGGUACUAACAAUUUUUUAAAUGCAAAUGGGUAUAGUCUAUUAAAUAACUUACAAAUAACACAUUGACAAUAUAAAAAAAAUGUAUGUAUAUAGUUACAGUAAGUAGCUUUUGGGGCUUGGAGUGGCUCUUAAGAUAGGCACCUAUUUUUUUGUUUUGUUUUUAACCACAGAAAAUGCAUUACACUCAUCGCGAACACAAAAGGCGAAAUGUUGC